rnacentral:rRNA from 1 species
GAUGAACGCUGGCGGCGUGCCUAAUACAUGCAAGUCGAGCGAACAGACGAGGAACUUGCUCCUCUGACGUUAGCGGCGGACGGGUGAGUAACACGUGGAUAACCUACCUAUAAGACUGGGAUAACUUCGGGAAACCGGAGCUAAUACCGGAUAAUAUAUUGAACCGCAUGGUUCAAUAGUGAAAGACGGUUUUGCUGUCACUUAUAGAUGGAUCCGCGCCGCAUUAGCUAGUUGGUAAGGUAACGGCUUACCAAGGCAACGAUGCGUAGCCGACCUGAGAGGGUGCUCGGCCACACUGGAACUGAGACACGGUCCAGACUCCUACGGGAGGCAGCAGUAGGGAAUCUUCCGCAAUGGGCGAAAGCCUGACGGAGCAACGCCGCGUGAGUGAUGAAGGUCUUCGGAUCGUAAAACUCUGUUAUUAGGGAAGAAUAAAUGUGUAAGUAACUAUGCACGUCUUGACGGUACCUAAUCAGAAAGCCACGGCUAACUACGUG